UGGUCGACCAGUUGGAAAGUAAUUGUUUCUAAUGUACUUCACCUGGUCCACUAGC
rnacentral:ncRNA from 5 species